UAAAUCACCCAGAUUCAAUCAGAUUUACUGAAUAUAAAAUACAACUGUGUCUGUGACUGAAUGUUUAACUUGCAUCAAGGAUAACAGAUCCCUUGUUUUAUUUGCAUCCACAAUGUGGGUCAUCAUGUAAAUUUCUUCUGUAACACAGAGGAGGAGCCUGAGAAUCUGACAGAUAUAUAAAGAUUGUUUGUGUCAGACUGAAGAACACAAAUGGUGAGUUACUGCUUUAUUCAUCAUUUACCUCUCAGAACAUUAAGAAAUGUAUACAACUUUCAGAAAAUAGAUUUAAAAAAUGUAAAUAAAACAUUUAUUUUAUUUUCAUCUAGAUAAACAAAAUCUCUGCUGUGAUCUACUGAGGAGAGAUUGAGCAGAUUGCUAUGAUGGCGUUUUUGUUGGCUCUUCUCUCUGUUGUUAUGGUGAGCGGAUGCAGUCAGGAUAAAGACAUGACAGUCGACUGUUCUGACCUCUUUAAAUCAGGACAAACCAUCAGUGGGAUUUACUCCAUAUAUCCAGCAGGUGACAUUCCUGUCUGGGUUUACUGUCAGAUGAUCUCAGACGGGAAAGCUGAAUACAAAGGAGGAUGGACGGUGAUUCAGAGGAGAAUGGACGGCAGUGUAAAUUUCUAUCGGCCGUGGGAUCAGUACAAGAGAGGAUUCGGGAAUGUGGAGAGUGAAUACUGGCUGGG